CCGGCCGCGGCGCGUGCACCUGCUGUUCCAAACAGAGGGGGGCCGGGUGAGCGCGGGGCCUGGGGCGCGACAGGCUGG